GAUGAACGCUGGCGGCGUGCCUAAUACAUGCAAGUCGAGCGAACAGACGAGGAGCUUGCUCCUUUGACGUUAGCGGCGGACGGGUGAGUAACACGUGGAUAACCUACCUAUAAGACUGGGAUAACUUCGGGAAACCGGAGCUAAUACCGGAUAACAUGUUGAACCGCAUGGUUCAACAGUGAAAGACGGUCUUGCUGUCACUUAUAGAUGGACCCGCGCCGCAUUAGCUAGUUGGUAAGGUAACGGCUUACCAAGGCAACGAUGCGUAGCCGACCUGAGAGGGUGGAUGGACACACUGGAACUGAGACACGGUCCAGACUCCUACGGGAGGCAGCAGUAGGGAAUCUUCCGCGAUGGGCGAAAGCCUGACGGUGCAACGCCGCGUGAGUGAAGAAGGUCUUCGGAUCGUAAAACUCUGUUAUUAGGGAAGAACAAAUGUGUAAGUAACUAUGCACGUCUUGACGGUACCUAAUCAGAAAGCCACGGCUAACUACGUG
rnacentral:rRNA from 1 species